CCUACGGGUGGCAGCAGUGGGGAAUAUUGGGCAAUGGAGGAAACUCUGACCCAGCAACGCCGCGUGAAUGAUGAAGGCCUUCGGGUUGUAAAGUUCUUUUCUAAGGGAAGAGGAAAGUGACGUUACCGUAGGAAUAACCCUCGGCUAACUACGGGCAAGCAGCCGCGGUAAUAGGUAGGAGGCGAGCGUUAUCCGGAAUGACUGGGGGUAAAGGGUGGGUAGGUGGUUUGGCAAGUUAGUAGCGAAACCCCAAGGCUCAACCUUGGAACUACUACUAAAACUGUUGGACUUGAGUGCAGGAGGGGCAACCGGAAUUCCUAGUGUAGCGGUGGAAUGCGUAGAUAUAUGGAGGAACACCAGUGGCGAAGGCGACGAUCUGGGAAGCAACAGACGCUGAGUCCCGAAAGCGUGGGGAGCAAAUAGGAUUAGAUACCCUAGUAGUC
rnacentral:rRNA from 1 species